rnacentral:rRNA from 1 species
UACGUAGGGGGCAAGCGCUGUCCGGAUUUAUUGGGCGUAAAGAGCUCGUAGGUGGUUCGGUAAGUCGGAUGUGAAAUCUCCAGGCUCAACCUGGAGGGGUCAUUCGAUACUGCCGUGACUAGAGUUCGGUAGGGGAGUGUGGAAUUCCUGGUGGAGCGGUGAAAUGCGCAGAUAUCAGGAGGAACACCCGUAGCGAAGGCGGCACUCUGGGCCGAUACUGACACUGAGGAGCGAAAGCGUGGGGAGCGAACAGG